UCUUAAUCUAUUUUAUAUACGAAAUACAAAUUUUUUUUCAGUCGUGUAAUUUUUAGUAUAAAGCAACUGCUAAUCAUUUAUAUAAACUUGAAUCGAUCGUUGAACAAACUUUUAGCCAUCAAUAUAAAAUUGUGUAGUGAAAAUUUUCAUGUUGUGCAGAGUUCAUGAAGACACAGUAGUACGUGUAUAUAUUUCUGUCAAGUUGAGGAGAAACCACCCGCAGCGCCUCCCUUUCCCUCCCCGGCGGCGGACCACUCUCAUCCACCGUCGCUUCUCUCGCUCCAGUAGCAUAGGGUAUGGAUAGAAGUUUGGGGAAGUAAGUGAAUUCAUUUUGAGGUAAUUGAAGAAAAAAAUAAACAAGGAACUAAUUAAGUAGGCCUUGAGUUUGAUGUUGCCUCAACCAGGAAUUUGAAUUAGGGCUUACUUUAUUGAGUUUUGAAGUUUUUAGCGAGUUCAUGCUGGAGAAACUUUUGUUCAGGAAUUUGUCCGUACAAUUAGAUUCGAUGGAGUUUUAGUUGGACUAUCAGCAUUAGAGCAGUUAGACAAUACUGUUGGAGGUUAUGUUGUCGAACACCUCAUGUGCAUAGCACACAUAAGAAAGAAGUACAUGUAAUCUUUGAUGAUGCACGACAGUUGUUGUUCCUUGAUUAUCUAUAUGGAUAUGUGUGUUCUAACACCAGCAAUCAACUUUCUGGUUAUCUUUAUUGGAGCCUGGGGUUACUUUAAUAGCUUAUAUCCUUGGGGUUAUUCUACACUUCUAACUGUUCGUGUUUGGAAUUCAUGGGAACUGCAACAUUAAUGCAAUAAUUUGUUCAUUUUUUCCUUUUAAUUUUGGUUCGUGCUGCUAUGAACUAUUUUAAGCCAUAUAUUUUUUUAGAAAUGCAAUGAAUUUUCUAGAUACUUCCUAAUAUAACCUAAAGUUGAACAGAUUGAAGCCUGGGGUAAGUGGACUUAUGUGCAUAAGUAUUAAAGUGAUUGUUGUAGAGAGCCCAUGAGAGAAAAAUAGAUUGAACUGAAAUAAUUUAUAUGCACAACCAAAAAGUGUAGAAAAGUUUAUUCUGGUUGAAGCAAUUUUAGGAGCUUAUACUAUUGUAAAAUGGAUCCUACAUACUGCAUUGCAUUUCUGACUCUUAUGUGCUUCCUUGUUUAUGUAUUGUAUGGUUCACAAACUAAAUUGUUGAGAGGAAGCAAAGGGGCGUGGACGAGCAAUUUAUACUCAGAGUUCUGCUUGUUGAAAAGACAGAGCAGCUCUUAAACAAUUAUUGCUCGCCUUUGGAGGCCAGUCUUUGGAUUUGUCCUUUUCCCUUAAGCUUAUAUGUUUUCUCUUUCCAGUGUUUCCUUUUUACACUUUUGUGCUUUUACUAUUGCUAUCCUUUUCCAAAUGUUUUGAGUAAUAAAAGUGUAGGUUUCGAAUUUGGAUGUAAAAGGAGUGCAUGGUCACAUGAGUUAUCUAGCUUACCCCUUAAUGCUGCUUGAGUUAAGAGUCAUGCACUAAUAAACUACAGACUUGGAGUUGCAGUACCUCACAUACAAUAUAAAUUACUCCCUCAACUUCAAUCCUAGGCCAUUGCAUAAUCGGCAUUGAAAAAUGUAAUGACAUUCAGGCAUAUCACGUUGACAAAUGACCAUACAGAUUUGCAUUACUCGUAUGCAGAAGUGUUCCUUAGGGGAAGUUUUGUUUGCCUGAUUUUAGGAACUAUAUGAUGACUGUUUCAAAGGAUGGAAGGACUAGCAGAUUUCUUAUGACGAGUGACUGGUUUUGCUGCCUCUCUUUCGGAUCUUCCUUGUAUUUUAGAGUCGUCCAAACUUUACAAUAAUUUUGGUUUAAUAAAAACUGCAUAUAUUGGUCAAGUAUGUAAAUUGAUCUUAACUAAUUUCUUGUAUUCUUGUAGAUAGCAUCUUAGGUUGUGAUAUAGCCAGGUCAAGUAUUCGGUACCUUCCCAGACAAUAAUGGCGAGAGUAUGUAUUUGCUAACUAGACCCUAUAAUUUUGUGCUCUUACUAUAAGUUGUUUUUAGUUUGAAGCUUGAGGUUGCAUCUUGUUUAGAGAAAGAUUUGCAGAACAUUGUGCCUGGCGGAACAGCUGCAAAUGUUGACAUUCUUUCAUUUUGUUAAGUCUCUCUGUUUCUUCCCCCAUCCUACAGUGAAACAUGUUAACAUACACAUCAGAAGUUCUGUUGGAAAGUCAGUGUUCCAGAUCUGUUGUGAAAGAGCUUAUUCUCUGGGGCAAUUUUAAUUCUCUACUUAUGUGUCUCUAAUAUCCACAAGGAAUGAUAACUCGUUAUUGGAGAAUAUGCAAUAGAAGGGGGUCAACACCCCUUAUCUGCUUAAUUACGUUUUGAAGCGGCUGAGCAAGAUGGUGAUAGGAAUGCACUUAAUGCAAGUAAAAAGGUAGUCAAUACCCCUUCAGCACUAAGCUUGAUGUGCCUGAUGGGAAGCCCGGCGAGAGAUUCUGAUGACUCUGCUGAUUCAUUAAGAACCAGAGAUCUGUUUGCCAAAGUUGGAUAUGUAUGGUCGGACAAAGAUUCUUAGCCUGUUGGAGUUGGUCAUGAGGCAACAGUCCACCUGUCAUUGUUUCUAUGUCCUUGUUGAAGUUUUAGCUUUCAUUUGAUGUACCCCAAUGGUAUUUGAUCGUAUAUUUCUGUUAAAAGAUUGAGUUUAUUCUUAUUCACUUUGCAAGAAGUGGAGAAGAGCUACAAUGCUGAAAGUUUUUAUUUCUCAUAAACAAGAUAGCAAAAAUAAUAUACAGAAUAAUUAAUAAAGAUACAAAUAUGUAUAUAAAAAUACUUUUUGGUAUUCGGUAUGGUUUUGAUAAACUAGACUAAAAACCAAACUGAUACCAAAGUUUCAUAAAACUGAAAACUGAAUACCAAACUAAAUUUUUUGAGUUUGGUUUCAAUACGACUGAAUUCGGGUUUCAGUUCGGUUUAGUCAUUUUUACCAAAUUGUAAACACACCCCAUUUCUCUCAAAUUUCUGUUUAUCUAUUUUGAGUUGCUCCUUUUAGAUUUUAUGCGAUUCUUCAUAUCUAUUUUGGGACUUAUUCAGUGACGGCAUUGCUUUACCUGCAGCAGCUAUUGCAUAAACUGCAUGGUUGGUACUCUUAAUGUGGCGUUCUGUGGCAAGCUGUAGCUGUUAUCACUAGAGGUGCCAGGCUGAUCAGUAGGAUAUCAAAGAAACCUAUAAUGAAGCGGCUCUCGCCACCUGAGAAGGUAUGUACGUACUCAUACUUAUCAAAAUUUCUAUACACGAAGCAUUGGGCGACCAGGAGAAGCCAUAUUUGUGCAUAAGUAAGUUGAGCACAAUUUUUGUGAAGGUGUUGUGGUUGUCAAAGUGUGAUGCUUUUUUCUAGCUUGUUGAUUAGCGUGUGAAACAUGUGGUUUCUAGUAUAAUAUUUGAGCAGCAUUAGCAUUAUGGUUUUUCCCAUGUUGAACUGUCAUUGUUGUGUUUUGAUCCUUGGGAACGUAACAUUUCAUAGUUUAAAGGAAAAUACCUAAUAGUAAACCGAACUAUAGUUCAAUCUUUUCAUGCCACUUUACAGGUAAUUAUGUAGCCGGCCAAGGUCUUGAAAAGGAGUGUAAAAUGUAGGAUGAUUGUCCCAAGAAGCAGAAGUCAAGA